AGUGAACGCUGGCGGUAGGCCUAACACAUGCAAGUCGAACGGCCGCACAGUAAGAGUUUGCUCUUAAGGGUGGCGAGUGGCGGACGGGUGAGGAAUACAUCGGAAACUACUUUUUCGUGGGGGAUAACGUAGGGAAACUUACGCUAAUACCGCAUACGACCUACGGGUGAAAGCAGGGGAGCAUCGGACCUUGCGCGAUUGAAUGAGCCGAUGUCGGAUUAGAUAGUUGGCGGGGUAAAGGCCCACCAAGGCAACGAUACGUAGCAGGCCUGAGAGGAUGAUCGGCCACACUGGAACUGAGACACGGUCCAGACUCCUACGGGAGGCAGCAGUGGGGAAUCUUCGACAAUGGGCGAAAGCCUGAUCCAGCCAUGCCGCGUGAGUGAAGAAGGUCUUCGGGUUGUAAAGCCCUUUUGUUGGGAAAGAAAAGCAGCAGGUUAAUACCCCGCUGUUCUGACGGUACCCAAAGAAUAAGCACCGGCUAACUUCGUG
rnacentral:rRNA from 1 species